UGGGGGAUAUUGCACAAUGGGCGAAAGCCUGAUGCAGCGACGCCGCGUGGGGGAUGACGGCCUUCGGGUUGUAAACUUCUUUUGCUCUGAACCAGGCAUGCUAAUGGGUGUGUUGAGUGUAGGGGUUGAUUAGCGCCGGCUAACUACGUGCCAGCAGCCGCGGUAAUACGUAGGGCGCGAGCGUUGUCCGGAAUUAUUGGGCGUAAAGGGCUUGUAGGUGGCUGGUUGCGUCUGUCGUGAAAGCUCAUGGCUUAACUGUGGGUUUGCGGUGGGUACGGGCUGUCUUGAGUGCAGUAGGGGAGUCUGGAAUUCCUGGUGUAGCGGUGGAAUGCGCAGAUAUCAGGAGGAAUACCGGUGGCGAAGGCGGGUCUCUGGGCUGUAUCUGACACUGAGAAGCGAAAGCAUGGGGAGCGAACAGG
rnacentral:rRNA from 1 species